CAGCUAACUAAAGUUGUAUAUUUCUGUGGUGCCACAGGCGCGGCUGUUAUAAUGACGGAGAGUUGCGGGCGUGAGCCGAGAGAAAAGUGAUAAUGGCAGGCAGGCAGGCGACCCUCUCAAGAGUCGGUGGUUCGGGGGAAAGAAAAAAAGGCGUGGCGCGGUGCUUGCGGUCAGAAAGAGAGAAUUAAGAGAUAACAGCUUAUUUGGCAGAAAGUGAUUAGGCCGAGGGAGAGAAAGAUAUCCUCUUGAGAUAACACGAGAGAAUAGAGAAUAAAGUGCGAGAGGUGGCGGCAGCAGCCAGUCCUGUGUUCCUGAUCUGACAAGAACACGUCGAGAGCGCGACUGGAACUCUCUGCCAUGUAAAAGCCUUGUGCGAGUCUACAUUUACUUAUGAAGACUCAAUCAAUCGUGGACAUGUUAGCUGUUUAUGUUGCGGUGGGCUCUCGACGAGACUGUACUGCUCCAAAGCUGUGAACGCGUAGUUGCUGUUUUACAUAUGUACAAGCCUGGAGAGACACACAACAUCUUGGGCGAUAGAUGGUUGCGAGUCCUGGUCGAGAGCAGUACCGCUUCAGGUCUUGAACGUGUUGGGGGUUGGUGUUGUUGCCGCCGUUUGCGGAUCGCAGAAUAGUCGAGAGCUCGAGAGAACACUAGCCUGUUAUUCCUGCCAAGCUGCCCACGCUGCUGUGCCUUGCUGUGUUCACUGAACGAGUUUUGGAUGAACAGCUGUUUGGCACGUAUAACAUUUGAAGUGGGUAGUGCAUGCUUUUACACGAUUACAGUCUGUUUUUCAUUAAUUACAAUAAAUUUUUUCGAAAAUAUGCUGUUUUUUAUCAAAAUAAAGACUGUAUUAGUGUAAAAUUAUAUAGACCAGCUACAAGUUUAGAUAGUGCCAUCCCAUGGCAGCACAUCCAUGAAAGAGUGUUACAAGAACACCACUGCAUGAACAGGAAAUACUAUUUUUUCUUUUCUUUUUUUUUUUUCACUAAUUAUGUUAAUUUCUUUUGGUUAAUGAAAUAAUUUUUUUAAUUAUUAUAACUAACGCACUUUUAAGAUUCAACUUUUCUGAUAAGAGUCCUAAGGUUCUUUAUGGGAUUCUAAAUUUUCUUCUACAGUAAUUAUUUAUCCAUGGGAUAGUGCUAACGAAAACUUGCAAUUUUUUUUUUUUUUCUUAUUCAUUCGGGCAACAGUCAUAAUUACUAUAAAGUGGAUUAAAACGGUUUUAUUAUUGAA